rnacentral:rRNA from 1 species
UUCGGAAUGAAUAAUGAUAUGACUGAGUGGCGGACGGGUGAGUAACACGUGAGUAACCUGCCUUUCAGUGGGGGACAACAGUUGGAAACGACUGCUAAUACCGCAUAAAGCAUUUUGAUCGCAUGGUAGAAGUAUCAAAGCUUUUGCGGUACAGGAUGGACCCGCGUCUGAUUAGCUAGUUGGUGAGGUAACGGCCCACCAAGGCGACGAUCAGUAGCCGGACUGAGAGGUUGACCGGCCACAUUGGGACUGAGAUACGGCCCAGACUCC